AUUUGCUGAGGGCAUUUGCUCAGGACACUCCAGCUCCACUAGCCUUUUCCAGCUCCUCCAGCACUACGCUGACCUCCUUCCAACUCAUCCAACACAUCAAACUACUUCCUGCCUCAGAGCCUUCCCUCUGCUUGGACAUCUUUUUCUCCAUUUCUUGCUUGACCAACUUGUUUCUACUCAACUUCCAGAUUCCUGUUUUAAGGUUGGUUUUAAGAGCAGCCUUCUGAGAUCCUCCCAAGGUCAAGGGUUAGUCACCUGGUAAGAAGCUGCCAAUUGCAAAUAAGAGUGUGCACUUGCUGGAUGUCUUCUGUUUGCUCUCUUGACCCACCUUCUACCAUUCCCCACCUUCUUCUUUGCCUCCGGAAGGGAGCUUUCUGGACUGCACCAACAAGCUACUUUGUCCUCUGGCUUGUCCUCGGAUUCAGUCAGUGGGAGGUACCCACAAGGUGACUUAGAAGGCAGAAGAGGAAUGAGCACUUGGUCAUGUAAACAGAUCAUUGUCGUUUUCAAUGUGAAGUUACUUGGCUGCCUUGGAAAAAAGUUUAAUCAUUGGGAUACUGCUUCAGCAUUUUCUCCAAGAAGUUCAUUCACAAGGCUAGGCCAAGAGGGAGGCAGAGCAAGACAGCUGGAUAGAAGCCUCCACCAAUCACCCUGCUCACAGCAACACCAAAAUGAACAAUUAUCCAUAAAAAAAAAAGGAACUUAACAAGAACCAAAAGUCAGUAAACAAGCACUCGCGCUGAAAAAGAUAAACUAUCACUGUACAAUGUGGGAUGACAAAACCAUGUUUUCCAGAACAAAGAGGAAAAAAAUGUUCAAAUCUGAAUUCAUAUCACAAAUGAGGGAAGUCUGGUGAAAGGAUGAUUAAAAAGUCUGUUGCUGGUAGGAUCUACAACCAGUUUGUAGGAACUAUGUAACCUGCUAGGACCUGGGCAUCUAUUUUGGGUCCCACCACCACAGCUAUCAUCAAAAGUGGUUAUUAUCAGCACCUGAAAGCAGGGAGGAGACAGUACAGUGAGGAAAAGCAUCUGACAAGGCCAGCUGGGGCAGAGGAUGGGAAGGAUGGAGACACCUUGGUUUGGAAGGCUAGGAAGCAGGCAAAGACUGGCUGUCACUUCAAAUCACUAACCGGGCCCACUGAUUCCAUCUACAAUCCUAACCCACCUCCUCGGGACUCCCUAUGCCUUCCUACCAGUGAAAUGCGAAAUAGCAGCACCUACCACAGCCAAGAGAGCACUUAACACAACAGCAGUUUAUGGACACGAAGAAGAGAAGGGAGAAUAAAGAGGAAAAUGAUGUUGAUCUAAAAGUCUCACUCUGGUCCCUUUUAUAAUAGAUAUUUUACUUUGAAAUAAACA
rnacentral:lncRNA from 1 species